ensembl:snoRNA
AUGCAUCCUUUGACAGACCUGGAGCAAAAACCCGUUGCUUCUCGGGUUCUUGUGGAGAUGCGACAGCAACCGGCUCCUUGCGCUUUCCGCCUGCCCGCCCCGUGGCAGUCCGGAUUGAAGAAGGGAGCACAAAG